UUAUAUAAUAUUGUACAGCAACUAUACUUCAAUUUUUAAAAAUUCUUCUGUUUUCAAUAAUGGCAGUAGCAAUGAAAAACAGAUUAAAUAUUUAAAGUAACUUCUCUUAGGUCACAAUAGUUGCUUGGAAGAAUAAAUUCUGAUAAUUAUAACUGUUUAAAUUCUCAUUACUUUAAUGAAACCUACUCAUAUUUAUUGAGGCAGGUGUUGAAGAAGAACAGGUGAAAUGGUUUAUAAUUUUCAAGGUUUCCAUCAGACACAUCUCCAAUAGUUCACAGCUACAAAAGAAUUCCUUAGUGGACAAAAUUUCAUUCAGUCAAAUGGCCUAUAGCUGGACCAAUGUCCCGGGGUCUCAAUUAAGAGUUGUUAUUCUUCAGGGAACAAAGCCAGGAACAACGAUCAACCUUUUGGCUCCCCUUUCCAAGUUCUUCCAAGGAAUUUUUGGAAACUGAUGUUGAUGCCCGAAGAACAACAAACAACCUCCAUUUGCAAGUGGAACAAAAAAACAGAAGCAGGUGGUCAAGUAGCUAAACUGGCAACGGUUCUAGCCAGUAGCUGGAUGGCCUGACUUCAGUCUUGGCCAAGGUCACCAGUGACUCCCCAAUGCACAGCUGUACAGUGGCCAGUCCUUCCUUUACAAGAAAAUGCUUGUGCACCGCACUGAGAAGCCCGUGCACCACAACAAAGAGUAGCCCCCGCUCGCCGCAACUAGAGAAAGCCCGCGCGCAGCAACAAAGACCCAACUCAGCCAUAAAUAAAUAAAUACAUAAAUAAAUACAUAAGUAUAAAUUUUAGAAAAAUGCCUGUGAAAGACAAGAAAAGGCAUGGCUAAGAAAACACACACCUGAACAUAGAAUCUGCUAGUGUCAUAAUGGCCAUUAGAAGAUCAGCCCAUUGAUUUAAAAUGCUCAUGGCAAAAGAAGGAACAGCAAAGAUGCACAGCAAUUCUUGGUGGGGAUGGGUAAUUUAUAUUCAAGGAAUUUAUUUUAAGAUAUCAAUCAUCAAAACUGUCCCUCUGUCCAUCCCUCACUCUUUGAUCAUCCUUUAUACAGUUCAUAGUUCCUUUUACGUGACUCUAGGACUUUGUACUGUUGCCUUGAUCGCUGGUUCACACAUACCUGAGCAAACUUAAGAAAUUCCAUUACCACACUCUGGGCCUUGAUAGUUUCUUCAGGAAAAAAAAAAAAAAAAAGAGGUACAAUUGACCUUUGAACAACAGGGCUUUGAACUUCACUGGUCCACACAUGUGCAGAUUUUUUUCAAAUACUGCAGUACCAUAGGGUCUGCAGUUGAUUGAAUGAAUCAGCAAAUUCCGAAUUGCAGAUAUGGAGGGCCAGUUAUAAAUUAUACUUGGAUUUCUGAUUGCACAGAGGGUCGGCACCCCUAACUCCUGCAUUGUUCAAGGGUCAGCUAUGUAAUUUCACUUAACCCA